GAUGAACGCUGGCGGCGUGCUUAACACAUGCAAGUCGAACGGAAAGGCUCCUGCUUGCAGGGGUACUCGAGUGGCGAACGGGUGAGUAACACGUGGGUGAUCUGCCCUGCACUUCGGGAUAAGCCUGGGAAACUGGGUCUAAUACCGGAUAGGACGAUGGUUUGGAUGCCAUUGUGGAAAGUUUUUCGGUGUGGGAUGAGCUCGCGGCCUAUCAGCUUGUUGGUGGGGUAAUGGCCUACCAAGGCGUCGACGGGUAGCCGGCCUGAGAGGGUGUACGGCCACAUUGGGACUGAGAUACGGCCCAGACUCCUACGGGAGGCAGCAGUGGGGAAUAUUGCCCCAUGGGCGCAAGCCUGAUGCAGCGACGCCGCGUGGGGGAUGACGGCCUUCGGGUUGUAAACUCCUUUCGCUAGGGACGAAGCGCAAGUGACGGUACCUGGAGAAGAAGCACCGGCUAACUACGUG
rnacentral:rRNA from 1 species